rnacentral:rRNA from 1 species
UACGGAGGGUGCGAGCGUUGUCCGGAAUCACUGGGCGUAAAGGGUGCGUAGGCGGACUUCUAAGUGUCGCGUGAAAGCCCACGGCUUAACCGUGGAACCGCGCGGCAAACUGGGAGUCUUGAGGAACGUAUAGGCGGGUGGAACGAUAGGUGGAGCGGUGGAAUGCGUAGAUAUCGGAAGGAACAUCAGUGGCGAAAGCGACUUCCUGGACCAAUACUGACGCUCAUGUGCGAAAGCGUGGGGAGCAAACAGG